AGUGAACGCUGGCGGUAGGCCUAACACAUGCGAGUCGAACGGCAGCACAGUAAUAGCUUGCUCUUACGGGUGGCGAGUGGCGGACGGGUGAGGAAUACAUCGGAAUCUACUUUUUCGUGGGGGAUAACGUAGGGAAACUUACGCUAAUACCGCAUACGACCUACGGGUGAAAGCAGGGGAUCUUCGGACCUUGCGCGAUUGAAUGAGCCGAUGUCGGAUUAGCUAGUUGGCGGGGUAAAGGCCCACCAAGGCGACGAUCCGUAGCUGGUCUGAGAGGAUGAUCAGCCACACUGGAACUGAGACACGGUCCAGACUCCUACGGGAGGCAGCAGUGGGGAAUAUUGGACAAUGGGCGCAAGCCUGAUCCAGCCAUACCGCGUGGGUGAAGAAGGCCUUCGGGUUGUAAAGCCCUUUUGUUGGGAAAGAAAAGCAGCAGGUUAAUACCCCGCUGUUCUGACGGUACCCAAAGAAUAAGCACCGGCUAACUUCGUG
rnacentral:rRNA from 1 species